ACCGAACCUUAAUAGAGAGCAUAAGAACAAUUAACAUUAAUAAAAAAAUAUAUUGAUAACUGUGGCUGGGAACCCGGUAGGAGGGGCAUCUUUGAAUGGUCGAUCUUGCCCAUGUUCCAAUUCAGGAUCCAAACAUCGGGCAACUCAGAUAAAGUCAAGAGUAUUAAUCAGUUCCUGUGCUGCCACUGGACUGGCUAUAAGUAAAUGUGAGUUUCACUGGGAAUUGGAGUUGAAACAUAAUCUUCUUCUCCACUAAGGAAUUGCUUAUUGGAGAGAAGUUGCACCCUUUGGCUGCCACUUUUGUUGUU